CUUUCUGACAGGCGAGCGCUUGGAAUAUUUAUUGGAACACAUGAAGUCUCUGGCCAACGAUGAAGGAGCAAUUGUACAUCCUGGAAUGCCAGACGAGCCGAAGCAAUUCACUGCAGUGGCUGCUCGUUCCAAAGACGGAGAAGAGUCGUUUGAAAGAAAUCCGAUCAAUCGGUCAUGAAGUAGUUGUUGCAUUGAAUGGCAGCUUUGUCAACUCUGGGACAAACGAAGAGAAAAGAGGGAGACUGUGCUA